rnacentral:rRNA from 1 species
AAAUUGAAGAGUUUGAUCAUGGCUCAGAUUGAACGCUGGCGGCAGGCCUAACACAUGCAAGUCGAACGGUAACAGGAAGCAGCUUGCUGUUUCG